GUGUCUUGGAGAAAGAUUUUGGCCAUUUUCGAAUGCGUUCAGAUUUUGAGGGUGUGAAGGAUCGGAAGGUUGUUCUAUAUCCAUGGCUUCAAUGAUCAGUCUCUUCUCUUCUCCAAAACACAAGGUAAAGCUUAUGGGAGACGAGAGGAUCCGCGAAUAUCCUUCGAACUCGAAGGAUAUUGACCGAACCCAUAAUAGGGAGUAUCUCCUACUUUUUCUUUUAAUUUACGCUUUCCAUUUAUCCUAACUUAUUUUUUAGUGUAUUUAGUUUGUAGGUAAAGUUUAUGUAGAGUCUACUACUAUCCAAUCCAUAUACGACACGAAAAAAUAAAGAUUUUGGUCUAAAAAUUAGAUCCAAACUCUAUAUAGGUCGGGCCAGCCCAGCAUGGUUGAAUAACCAAACCGUUUCGAGGUCUACGCAAAUUUUUACGUGCUAGGCACGGUCCAAAUUUUUAAAAUAAGCUAUCUUGCGGCAGGCGAGUCGAAGUUCCGGAACUCGACUUUGAAUGAAAAGCUGUUUGAACUUGUUUCUUAGAGCAGACAAUCCCUUUUCCAGAUGAUAUUUCUCAGUUUUCUUUCCCGUUUUGUCAAGAUUGCAAAGGGCAACAGCUAAAUGUAACAUGGGGAAGGUAAUAGAUGGAUCGUCAGCGGGUGCAGCCUUCAUCAUUAUCUGUAGACCUAUUUGCAGUAAGCGUUCAGCUUCAGCAAAAUUCUUGGAGCGCGAAUGGGAGGUUGCGAGAUUUACAAGAUUGGGUACUAAGCUGGGAUGUCCUUUUCCUUUAUAUUUCUCAGUUAUGAACAACCAUUCUUCCAACAGGGUUCGGCCUUCUUCUCCCCUGCAAGUAACGAAUAUCAUGAUAAUCCAACAUAAAUAUAUGUAUACUUAGAUUCUAGACAUUUCUUCUAUUGAACAACUAUUAACGACCAGUGGUCAUCGAGCAAUGUCUAUGUGUUUUUUGUGUGUAAAAUAUAAUUUCAGACGACGUA